AUGACUGUCAGGAAGGAAGGGACUGAGGCAGUGAGUCCAUGCUGCUCUCACUGUGUCAUUGCCCCCGUGGAAACCAGCAAGGACAUCUUCCAAGCUGUAAUCCAGCAUGCCAUUCAUCAACGUGGUUUGAUAGAAACAAGAUAUUUUCUUCCCGUUGUGAGGAGGUUGGAUUUAUGUCUCUUAGAAUUACCUUUUUUUACUCUAGAGAGAGAUAUUUGCCUCUUAAAAAUAAAAUCCACGAGAUUAAAUUUCAUCGAACAGUUUCUCUCUGAGGAACUAAAAACCUGAAAUUCAAGGAAUUCGCCGUAGCUGGUGAAAUUACAUUAAUGCAUGUAAAUACCCAUAUUAACCCAUCCAAGGUGCCCUUGCUUCUGGAUAUGCCCUGGGCCCAAAGCGAAUCUUCCCAGAGGUAAAACCACUGUGUAAUUACUGUUAUUUCAUGUGUGUGUGUUCGUGCAUUCACUCAUUCAUAAGUUUUUGCCUUCUCUCAUUCAUUCAGCAAGUUAUUGAGCACCUAAUGCAUGCCCAGCACCACACCAGGCUCUGGUGAUACAAGAUGAUGAGCAAAACCAGACCAGUGCCAGUCUUUCUGGACCCCUCAUUCUUACCAGGGAGACAGCAACCACAUCACACAAUGAAAGGUAAGUUGCCACUGUGACAGGUGCUAUGAAGGAGGCCAUGUUAGUGUGCUUGGGCUGCCAUAACAAAAUACCACAGACUGGUGGCCUCAACAACAGAAACUCAUUUUCUCACAGUUCUAGAAUUUGCAAGUCCAGAAUCACAGAAUCAGCAAAUUUGGUCUCAUCCGAGGCCACUCUCCUUGACUCGUAAAUGGCCACCUUUUCUCCAUGUCUUCACCUUGUCUUUCCUGUGUGUGUGUGCUUGUGUGAGUCUUUGUCCUCAUGACCUCAUUUUAACUGAAUUACCUUUUUAAUGGCCCUAUCUCCGAUACAGUCACGUUCUGAGGUAUUGGGGGUAAGGGCUUGAACAUACGAAUUUUGGGGGACACCAUUCAGCCAUAACAGAGAGGUAUCUGGUACAUAUGGAGAUAUUAACAGGGACAGGUCAGAUACCCAAGCAGAGACAUAGGGUGGGC
rnacentral:lncRNA from 1 species